GAAUGGCACCACGAAGGUUACACUGUCUCCUAUUUCUAAUCAGUAAAACUAAUCUUCCCGUGAAGAAGCGGGGAUUUUUAUAUAAGACGAGAAGACCCUAUGGAGCUUUAAACGAAAUAACAACUACCAACUCAACUAACAAUUUCAGAAGAUUUAUAUUAACUUUGGUAUAAUGAUUACUAGUUUUAGGUUGGGGUGACCGCGGAACAAAAAACAACCUCCGCAUUGAACGGACUAAUAUUCCUAAGCAAAAAACCACAACUUUAUGCAUCAACACAUUGACAUCCAUUGACCCAUUAACUUGAUCAACGAACCAAGUUACCCUAGGGAUAACAGCGCAAUCCAUUUCAAGAGCUCCUAUCGACAAAUGG
rnacentral:rRNA from 1 species